UGCUGUGACUAGAGAGCUUGAGACCUUUCAGGUCUGAAACCUGAGCAGAGAAAUGAGAAGGUGCAAACCCUCACACAGCAA